rnacentral:lncRNA from 1 species
CCACAAACCACUGCCAGAUGAAGCUUCUGAAAGCAAUGCUCUAGCCGGCUUGUAUUUUUUGCUCGGAAACCUUGCGUGGCUUCGCUUGUCUACGGAAUUCAGUACUGAAUCAAUUAAGAGGAUUCUGAGCAACAAAGCAAAGAUGAAGAGCUGACCAAGCAAUCAAAAAAGACUUGGAAGAAAACAAGAAAUGCCAAGGCAGAAUUUCUUGAGCUGUGAUUCUCAAACCACCUAGAUCAUAAAGAUAUAAAGGGCACUGUUAUAAAAGCAGAUUCUGGGGCUCUACCUCAGAUCCACUGAACCAGAACGUCUUUCAGGAGGAUGAGGAGUUUUCAGUAAGUUCAGUGGGCAU